UGACGACGACGAGGAUGACCAAGACCCGUCGGCGACUGGUGGUGGGUUCGACUACGCGGUGGCGCUGUUCAACCGCGGCGAGUUCCACGCGUGCCACGACGUGGUGGAGGAGCUCUGGUACGGCGCCGAGGACCCCGCGCGGACGCUCCUCCACGCCAUCCUACAGUGCGCCGUCGGAUUCCACCACCUCUUCAACCAGGUCCUACCCAUUGAUUGAUCAACUGUUGGACUGCAUAUAUACGCGCCAACAAUCGAUCCAUGAAUUCUGAAUUUAUUUGAUGCCAACGAUCUAAUUAUUGCUCGAUCGAUCGGCCUAUACGUACGUGCAGAACCACCGCGGCGCCAUGAUGGAGCUCGGUGAGGGCCUCUGCAAGCUCCGCAAGCUCAACCUCGGCGGCGGCGACGACGACGACCCAUUCUCCCGCUUCCGGGACGACGUCGCCGCCGUCCUGCAAUUUCUCUACCGCACCCAAAAGGAGCUCGC
rnacentral:lncRNA from 1 species